rnacentral:rRNA from 1 species
GACGUAGGGGGCAAGCGUUAUUCGGAAUCAUUGGGCGUAAAGCGCUCGUAGGCGGAUCGGACAGUCGGUGAAGAAAGACCCGGGCUCAACUCGGGGAACGGCACCGAUACUAUCGAUCUUGAGGCAAUCAGAGGGUGAUGGAAUUCCCGGUGUAGCGGUGAAAUGCGCAGAUAUCAGGAGGAACACCGGUGGCGAAGGCGGGUCUCUGGGCCGAUACUGACGCUGAGGAGCGAAAGCGUGGGGAGCAAACAGG